rnacentral:rRNA from 1 species
UACGUUGGUGGCAAGCGUUGUCCGGAUUUACUGGGCGUAAAGGGCGUGCAGGCGGUUUGUUAAGUGCAGGGUGAAAGCUCCCGGCUCAACUGGGAGAGGUCCUUGCAUACUGGCAGACUUGAGGGAGGCAGAGGAAAGUGGAAUUCCCGGUGUAGUGGUGAAAUGCGUAGAUAUCGGGAGGAACACCAGUGGCGAAGGCGGCUACCUGGACAGAAACUGACGCUGAGGCGCGAAAGCUAGGGGAGCAAACAGG